AUGGCACUAGAAUCUGAUUCAAGGCAAUCUGAUUCAAGGCGCCCCUCGUCGAAAGUUAUUGCAAAAAUUAUUGCAAGGGUUGCAUGCAUUGAGAUACCGAGGAAUCAAUGGCAGGACCUCAUUCGCAAAUUAGUGGACAACAUGGCAAGGCCAUCUUCUUCACUAAAGGAAGCAACUCUAGAAGUUUUGGAGUAUGUCUUUGAGGGGUCCCCUUACCUUCUCAAGGGGGAUCAAGGGGGUCUUGUUAAGGCCAGUGUCAUAAGUGCAGUGAAGAACCAUGUAGGAGAGCUAAGUUCUCAAGUCCGUCUGGCAGUGGUUAAAGCUCUACUCAACGUUCUUUAG
rnacentral:rRNA from 1 species